GGCUGAGUUAUCUGCCUGCACCUUUGCAUCUGAAAGGUUAACUCAUGGAGACUCAGCUUCCUGUUAACUGAAUCUUAGCUGUGACAGUAAGACGAGUUCCCAGGGAUGGCCCAGUGGAACCCCAGGUACCUGGGAGCCAGCUGCAGAAUUCAUGAAUGAUGUUCUUAUCUAGAAGGUGUGUGGGAGGCCAGAUCCUAGGGCUGCAUCAGGGGACACAGAGCCCAGGAAACCGCCUUUGGAGUCCUGAGCUACUGGAACCUGUUUGUCAAGGUGUCACUUAUUGCAUUGACUCUUUAAGGACCAAGUUUGAAAGGAGCUUCUGUGAGCUCUUCUACCAAACUCCACACAGAAGUAAAUAUUUGGUCAAAACAUUUAAAAAGUCCUUGGAGCCAAUCUGAAAGUGAAUGAUACA
rnacentral:lncRNA from 1 species